rnacentral:rRNA from 1 species
GUGCAGCAGUCGCGAAAACUCCGCAAUGCGCGUAAGCGUGACGGGGUCAUCCCGAGUGCCGUCCGCUGAGGAUGGCUUUUCUCCGGUCUAACCAGCCGGAGGAAUAAGGGGAGGGCAAGUCUGGUGUCAGCCGCCGCGGUAAUACCAGCUCCCCGAGUGGUUGGGACGAUUAUUGGGUCUAAAGCGUCCGUAGCCGGCUGAGGAAGUUCUCCGUUAAAUCCAACGAUUCAAUCGUUGGGCUGCGGGGAAUACUCCUCAGCUUGGGGGCGGGGGAUGUCGGCGGUAUUUCCGGGGUAGGGGCGAAAUCCUAUAAUCCCGGGAAGACCACCAGUGGCGUAGGCGGUCGGCUAGCACGCGCUCGACAGUGAGGGACGAAAGCUGGGGUAGCGAACCGGAUUAGAUACCCCUGUAGUCC